CUAACCUCAUAUUAAGGCAAAGUUAAACUUCAUAGUAGCAUCGUUAAAUCUCUUUCCCAAAACCAUGGUUAUUCAGGUUGCACCUGAAAACAGUUGUAAUGUACCUCCUGCCUCAGCCCAGGCAUAGAGCAGGGAAAACCAUGGUUAUUCAGGUUGCACCUGAAAACAGUUGUAAUGUACCUCCUGCCUCAGCCCAGGCAUAGAGCAGGGAAAACCAUGGUUAUUCAGGUUGCACCUGAAAACAGUUGUAAUGUACCUCCUGCCUCAGCCCAGGCAUAGAGCAGGGAAAACCAUGGUUAUUCAGGUUGCACCUGAAAACAGUUGUAAUGUACCUCCUGCCUCAGCCCAGGCAUAGAGCAGGGAAAACCAUGGUUAUUCAGGUUGCACCUGAAAACAGUUGUAAUGUACCUCCUGCCUCAGCCCAGGCAUAGAGCAGGGAAAACCAUGGUUAUUCAGGUUGCACCUGAAAACAGUUGUAAUGUACCUCCUGCCUCAGCCCAGGCAUAGAGCAGGGAAAACCAUGGUUAUUCAGGUUGCACCUGAAAACAGUUGUAAUGUACCUCCUGCCUCAGCCCAGGCAUAGAGCAGGGAAAACCAUGGUUAUUCAGGUUGCACCUGAAAACAGUUGUAAUGUACCUCCUGCCUCAGCCCAGGCAUAGAGCAGGGAAAACCAUGGUUAUUCAGGUUGCACCUGAAAACAGUUGUAAUGUACCUCCUGUCUCAGCCCAGGCAUAGAGCAGGGAAAACCAUGGUUAUUCAGGUUGCACCUGAAAACAGUUGUAAUGUACCUCCUGCCUCAGCCCAGGCAUAGAGCAGGGAAAACCAUGGUUAUUCAGGUUGCACCUGAAAACAGUUGUAAUGUACCUCCUGCCUCAGCCCAGGCAUAGAGCAGGGAAAACCAUGGUUAUUCAGGUUGCACCUGAAAACAGUUGUAAUGUACCUCCUGCCUCAGCCCAGGCAUAGAGCAGGGAAAACCAUGGUUAUUCAGGUUGCACCUGAAAACAGUUGUAAUGUACCUCCUGCCUCAGCCCAGGCAUAGAG